rnacentral:rRNA from 1 species
UACGAAGGGGGCUAGCGUUGCUCGGAAUCACUGGGCGUAAAGGGUGCGUAGGCGGGUCUUUAAGUCAGGGGUGAAAUCCUGGAGCUCAACUCCAGAACUGCCUUUGAUACUGAGGAUCUUGAGUCCGGGAGAGGUGAGUGGAGCUGCGAGUGUAGAGGUGAAAUUCGUAGAUAUUCGCAAGAACACCAGUGGCGAAGGCGGCUCACUGGCCCGGUACUGACGCUGAGGCACGAAAGCGUGGGGAGCAAACAGG